UUCCAUGUGGUAUCUAUGAGUCUGCAGGUGUGCGUGUAUGCUCCCUAGCACGUAUGUUUUUCUGACUAUUAAUCCAUCUUCUCUUGAUAUUUGCAUUACAGAAACCGAAUGAGUUCCUCUUGGUCACAUCAUCUCCCGAGUCUUUCAAACUGAACUCAGCAUCAUGCUGUCUUGGAUCGUCACAGAUUUCUAAGGGUUGGCGGUUUGCCUGGGGUCUGCAGGGCUCUUCGAUAUAUCCCUUGCACUGCUGAAAGUGAAAUGGACAAACAAAACAUGUCAAGUAUUCCUCUCUGGUUUCCUGGUCUGAGUGUAGGGCAGUCAUUCACUCACCGUCUUCACCUCAUUCCUUGUUCACUCUCUAAAUCCCACUCCCAGCCAUUUUAUAGUUUCACCAAGAAAAUGCUGUUUUACACAGUUUAUUCCCUUUUGAGCACUGACUUCUGAUUUGUGUGAUUGAGUUAGUUCCUCAUUAGCUGUGUUUUGUCUGUCUCUCUGCACUAGAACAUGAGCCCCAGGGAAACUAGGCUCUUCUCUGCCUCCUUUCCUGCUGGGAACCAACAGCAAUGCCCAGAACAUGGUGGCAAUUCAAUAAAAGUUUAUUAGACAAGUGAAUGAAUCAACCACAACCCCAUUGAUUCUAUAGUUCUGACAUCUUGCAAACACUUUCUGAAUUCCCCCUCCCCUACUGCUACCACCUUGGUUCUGGGCACUGUAAUUUCUCUCAUCAGUGGCUGCAGUAGUCUCAAAUAGUUCAAUUAUUUUCACUCUCACCCCCUGGAAGUCAUUAUCUCCCCCACAGCCUGGGGUCUUUCUAGCCUGCCUACUGCCUCCUGUCAUUGGUCUCCUCAGUAGCCCUUCCUCACAAAGGCCCUUUCCUGCACAAGGGUUUGCCCUUCUGCCAGAGAGAGCUCAGGCCUGGAGAACCUGGAACUUCCCCCCCAUGCGGAAAAUGUCUGAACUCUGAUUGUGUAUCACACCAACAGAUACUGGGCCGAAGGAAGAUAUCAAAGUCUGAGAAACAGGAAUGUCGGUCCAGGUUAGGAUGUGUGAUAAGCGUCAAGGCCCACAAGUUGAGACCCACUCAUCGCCAGGCCAUACAUUGAAGUAACUUCUUCAUAAAGGCUACCAAUUGCCAAAUUCUCACACCACAGGACUAUAGCCUUCGGUUACCACAGCCACUGUGUGACACACGCCUCUCUCUCAAGCCCCGAAAUGGGGAUGAUGUGGCCCAGACACAAAAAUCUUCUUUUAUGCUGCAUUUUCUGAGGUUUUAAAAGUCUUCUAAAGGCUUCUAAAACUGCACUUUAUAAAGAGAAAGCUCAGC